rnacentral:rRNA from 1 species
AGAAUCAACGCUGGCGGCGUGCCUAACACAUGCAAGUCGCACGAGAAACGGACUUCGGUCCUGAGUACAGUGGCGCACGGGUGAGUAACACGUGAAUCAUCUACCUUCGAGUGGGGAAUAACUGAGAGAAAUCUUAGCUAAUACCGCAUAAUACCCACGGGUCAAAGCAGCAAUGCGCUUGAAGAGGAGUUCGCGGCAGAUUAGUUAGUUGGCGGGGUAAUGGCCCACCAAGACGAUGAUCUGUA